UAAAUUCAGCGGGUAGCCCCGCCUGACCUGGGGUCGCAACGGUAUUGAGUUGCAACGAGGCAACGUCACAGGGUCCUGCGAGCUCUCGGUGGCAAGGGGCUGCGCGACAUAAAGCUGAAUAAACUCCACCUAUUGCCGCGGCAGCUCGAUGCCUUGGGCUCCAAUUUUAGGCCAACCGCGCCCGGUGAGGCACGGGAAGCCAUCAUCCUUCCCCUCCCCACUCGAGGUGGGUGUGGGGGAGACGCGAUGCGUGACGCCCAGGCAGACGUGCCCUCAGCCGAAGCUUCGGGCGCAACUUGCGUUCAAAGACUCGAUGGUUCACGGGAUUCUGCAAUUCACACCAAGUAUCGCAUUUCGCUACGUUCUUCAUCGAUGCGAGAGCCGAGAUAUCCGUUGCCGAGAGUCGUUUAUUGUUAAGACAUGGCACCACGCCCCUAGCACCGGCUAACCGGGCACGGAGCGCGAGCACACAUUGAGUUUAUGUUCCUUGACGCUUUACGCGCCGGGGUACGUUGAUUUGCCAGGGGAACGGCCCACGAGGGGUCGCACCGAGGCGUGGGGGAGGGCGAGGAGGCGCACGAGGCACCCGCAACGACCCCGUCCCACACAUAAGUAAACGGGUUCUCGGGUCGUUCUGCUAGGCAGGUUUCGACAAUGAUCCUUCCGCAGGUUCACCUACG
rnacentral:misc_RNA from 1 species